rnacentral:rRNA from 1 species
CCUACGGGUGGCAGCAGUGAGGAAUAUUGGUCAAUGGCCGCAAGGCUGAACCAGCCAAGUCGCGUGAGGGACGACUGCCCUAUGGGUUGUAAACUGCUUUUAUGAGGGAAUAAUAUAUGCUACGUGUAGCUUGUUGCCGGUACCGUAUGAAUAAGCAUCGGCUAAUUCCGUGCCAGCAGCCGCGGUAAUACGGAGGGUGCGGGCGUUAUCCGGAUUUAUUGGGUUUAAAGGGUGCGUAGGCGGUUUUUUAAGUGAGUGGUAAAACGCCGGGGCUAAACCUUGCUCUGCCAUGAGUACUGUAAGACUUGAGUUCACAGGAGGUAGGCGGAAUACGUUGAGGAGCGGUGAAAUGCUUAGAUAUAACGAAGAACUCCGAUAGCGAAGGCAGCUUACCAGACUGCGACUGACGCUGAAGCACGAGAGCGCGGGUAGCGAACAGGAUUAGAUACCCGGGUAGUC